rnacentral:misc_RNA from 1 species
GAUGAAGAACGUAGCGAAAUGCGAUACGUAAUGUGAAUUGCAGAAUUCAGUGAAUCAUCGAAUCUUUGAACGCAUAUUGCGCUCUUUGGUAUUCCGAAGAGCAUGCUUGUUUGAGUAUCAGUAAACACCUCAAAGCUUUUGGAUUUUUUAAUCGAAAAGCUUUGGACUUGAGCAAUCCCAACACCAAUCUUUUUGAGAUCGGUGGCGGGUUGCUUGAAAUGCAGGUGCAGCUGGACAUUCUCCUGAGCUAAAAGCAUAUUCAUUUAGUCCCGUCAAACGGAUUAUUACUUUUGCUGCAGCUAACAUAAAGGGAGUUUGUCCGUAUUGGCUGACUGAUGCAGGAUUUCACAAGGGUCGGCAACGAUUCUUGUUAAACUCGAUCUCAAAUCAAGUAAGACUACCCGCUGAACUUAAGCAUAUCAAUAAGCGGAGGA